rnacentral:sRNA from 1 species
GUAUGGAAAGACGCCU